GGGCGGUUAGCUCAGCGGUAGAGCACUGCUUCACUACCGCAGGGGUCGCAGGUUCGAACCCUGCACCGCCCACCA
rnacentral:tRNA from 1 species